rnacentral:lncRNA from 1 species
UGAAGUUGAGAAACGUCUGCUUCAAGAGAUUGACGAGUUUGGAGGACGUGAUCUGAUCCCAACUUCCCAUGAUUUAAAAUACAAGUUUCCAUACCUUGAUCAGGUGCUUUUUUCUACAAAAAACCUGGAAAGUUGAUUUUAUUAGAAUUUUUGAAUGCAUGUUUUUUUUUUUGCUUUUUCUUCUUUGUAGGUCAUCAAAGAGGCUAUGAGAUUCUACAUGGUUUCCCCAUUGGUUGCAAGGGAAACAGCAAAAGAAGUGGAGAUAGGAGGUUACCUACUUCCCAAGGUAUCAACUCAAAACCCCUUUUUUUUUUUAGUUUCCAUUCACAAAAACUUACCUUGUUAUUGUUGUUUUAGGGGACAUGGGUUUGGUUGGCACUAGGAGUUCUAGCAAAGGACCCCAAAAACUUUCCUGAUCCAGAAAAGUUCAAGCCGGAGAGAUUUUAUCCUAAUGGAGAAGAGGAGAAACUUAGACAUCCAUAUGCUUUCAUCCCGUUUGGCAUUGGUCCACGAGCCUGUGUUGGACAAAGAUUUGCCCUGCAAGAGAUCAAACUCACCUUGUUGCAUCUCUACCGUAAUUACAUUUUUAGACAUUCUCCAGAUAUGGAGAAACCACUGCAGCUUGAUUAUGGUGUAAUCCUCAGCUUCAAGAAUGGUGUUAAGCUCAGAGCCAUCAAAAGACAAUAAUUCUAUAAUACUGAGAGCAGCAUGAUGAAAUAAAUGUGAAAAACCGAAUUUUUAUAUUUAAAAUUCAUCAAAAACUCCAAUGUAGUUUCAGAGGAAAAAAUAUAUAUAUUUAACAUACACAGACAACAACAAGCUGUUGAAACUUUUCUAAGGCAAUUGAUAUGAAUCUAAGAAUGUCUGUCACUUCAUCACUCAAUCUCAGCUGUACAAAAAGUGCGUCCUAGAGGAGUUUCGUUUGUGAAAUUUGAAGGAUCAUUCAAAGUGUAUUCUUGAUUUUAUUUAGGGUUUUUGUCUGUGUUUGUUACAAACACACCAUCCACAUUUUCUACUAACCCGUUUUUCUUCUUCUAUUUAACUCUCCACAGUCCAUAAAUUAAAAGUUCACUAAUUCUUUGUGUUUUGUGAAACCUGACAAAAAUCAUGUUGGCCACCGGAAGGGUAGCAAAACAAAAGGAAAUAGCCCAAAGUACAAGGCGUGUUGCCAAUCAAGGAAAGGCAACUGUGCUUGCUCUCGGUAAGGCCUUCCCCAGCAAUGUAGUCUCUCAAAAGAAUCUCGUGGAGGAGUAUCUCCGUGAAAUAAAAUGCGAUGACCCCUCUAUCAAAGAGAAGCUGCAACACUUGUGUAACAUUCAUCAUUUUUUUAAUUUCCCUCUAAUUUCUUUUACAACCUUUUACGUCCGCCCUUGUAUGGAUAUAUAGUAAGCAUAAUACGUGAUAUGGCUUGGUGGUGUUAGGUAAAACCACAACUUUGAUUAUGGUGUAAUCCUCAGCUUCAAGAAUGGUGUUAAGCUCAGAGCCAUCAAAAGACAAUAAUUCUAUAAUACUGAGAGCAGCAUGAUGAAAUAAAUGUGAAAAACCGAAUUUUUAUAUUUAAAAUUCAUCAAAAACUCCAAUGUAGUUUCAGAGGAAAAAAUAUAUAUAUUUAACAUACACAGACAACAACAAGCUGUUGAAACUUUUCUAAGGCAAUUGAUAUGAAUCUAAGAAUGUCUG